GUGCAAGGGGGCCUCUCUAAAGACUCCUCCAUGGAUCUGUACCUCCUCCUUCUGUACCUAGCCCAGAUAUUGUGGGGCAUAACUGUGUUGCCUGGCAAGUUAACAGCAUUUUUGCAGCUAUGCUGCCAGUCUUGAAGGUGGCAGAAUGGAGAGAGGAAAAGAACUUCCAUCCUUAAUGAUGCUGCUGAUCUGCUGAUUCAGCUCUGUCCUUGCCCACCUACCUCUCAAAUUAUUGUUUUGUGAGAUUACUAAAUUCCUUUCUGUUUAAAACCACUUUUAAUGGAGGUAUUCUGUUACUUGUAACUGAAAGCAACUGGACUGAAACAUUACUACAUUAUGCUGCCUCCCAGAAAAUUUAAUUAUUAAAACCUGGGGUUUUGAGAUUUCAUUUAAAAAUUUUAUUGGAGUAUGCUGCUGCUGCUGCUGCUAAGUCGCUUCAGUCGUGUCCGACUCUGUGUGACCCCAGAGAUGGCAGCCCACCAGGCUACCCCAUCCCUGGGAUUCUCCAGGCAAGAACACUGGAGUGGGUUGCCAUUUCCUUCUCCAAUGCAUGAAAGUAAAGAGUGUAAGUGAAGUCAUUCAGUUGUGUCCGACUCCUAGCAACCCCAUGGAUUACAGCCUACCAGGCUCCUCUGUCCAUGGGAUUUGCCAGGCAAGAGUACUGGAGUGGGUUGCCAUUGCCUUAUCCGUUAUUGGAGUAUAGUUGAUUUAUAAUAUUGUAUUAGUUGCAGGUAUACAGCAAAGUGAACCUGUUACACAUAUACAUAUAUCCACUCUUUUUGACACUGUAUUUUAAAAAGAACUAAGAAAUCUUGAGAGAAGAAUCAGAGCAUAACUGUCAUAAAUAAUCAUGAGAUUCCUGCUUGAUGUUUUCUCAGUUAUUUGUCAAUUUCCAUUUGUAUUCAGCUUUUAGUGAAUUACAAUGUUCCAUAUAUACUAGCUGGGAAGUUUUUAAACUUACUUAACAGGAAAAAGACUUGGAUGGUUGAAGAUAGGUAGGUAGGUAGAUCAGUUCACUCAGUCAUAUCCGACUCUUUGUGACCCAUGAACCACAGCACACCAGGCCUCGCUGACCAUCACCAACUCCCAGAGUUUAUCCAAACUCUUGUCCAUUGAGUUGGUGAUGCAAUCCAACCAUUUCAUCCUCUGUUGUCCCCUUCUCUUCCUGCCUUCAAUCUUUUCCAGCAUCAGGAUCUUUUCAAAUGAGUCAGCUCUUCGCAUCAGGUGGCCAAAAUACCAGAGUUUCAGCUUCAACAUCAGUCCUUGCAAUGAACACCCAGGAUUGAUUUCCUUU
ensembl:lncRNA